rnacentral:rRNA from 1 species
UUAGAGGAAGUAAAAGUCGUAACAAGGUUUCCGUAGGUGAACCUGCGGAAGGAUCAUUAUUGAAAUUAAACCUGAUAAGUUGUUGCUGGUUCUCUAGGGAGCAUGUGCACACUUGUCAUCUUUGUAUUUCCACCUGUGCACUUUUUGUAGACCUGAGUAUCUCUCUGAAUGCUUAGCCAUUCAGGAAUGAGGAUUGACUUUCAGUCUCUUCCUUACAUUUUCAAGUCUAUGUUUCUUCAUAUACCCUAUGUAUGUUUAUAGAGUGUUGUUAAUGGGCUUUUGUGCCUAUAAACCUAUACAACUUUCAGCAACGGAUCUCUUGGCUCUCGCAUCGAUGAAGAACGCAGCGAAAUGCGAUAAGUAAUGUGAAUUGCAGAAUUCAGUGAAUCAUCGAAUCUUUGAACGCACCUUGCGCUCCUUGGUAUUCCGAGGAGCAUGCCUGUUUGAGUGUCAUUAAUAUAUAUCAACCUCUUUGGUUGGAUGUGGGUUUGCUGGCCUCUUCAGGUCAGCUCCCCUUAAAUGCAUUAGCGGACAACAUUUUUUGCCAACCGUUCAUUGGUGUGAUAAUUAUCUACGCUAUUGACGUGAAGCAAGGUUCAGCUUCUAACAGUCCAUUGACUUGGACAAAUUUCUUUUUAUUAAUGUGACCUCAAAUCAGGUAGGACUACCCGCUGAACUUAAGCAUAUCAAU